AGUCAUAUGCUUGUCUCAAAGAUUAAGCCAUGCAUGUCUAAGUACAGGCCGAUCUACGGCUAAACCGCGGACGGCUCAUUAAAUCAGAUAUAAUUCAUUGGAUCUGUAGAACCCCACUUACUUGGAUAACUGUGGUAAUUCUAGAGCUAAUACAUGCCUUUAGAGACUCUGACAGCAAUGGAAGAGCGCUUUUAUUAGUUCCAAAACCUUUCGGACCUUGGGCCGUAAGACUUGGUGAAUCUAGAUAACCUCUGCUGAGCGCACGUCCUCGCGACGGCGCCGCAUCUUGCAAGUGUCUGCCUUAUCAGCUCUCGAUUGUAGGUUAAACGCCUACAAUGGCUAUAACGGGUAACGGGGAAUCAGGGUUCGAUUCCGGAGAGGGAGCCUGAGAAACGGCUACCACAUCUAAGGAAGGCAGCAGGCGCGCAAAUUACCCACUCCCGGCACGGGGAGGUAGUGACGAAAAAUACUGUAGCGAGACUCCAUCGAGGCUUCGCUAUUGGAAUGAGUACACUUUAAAUCCUUGUACGAGGAUCGAGUGGAGGGCAAGUCUGGUGCCAGCCGCCGCGGUAAUUCCAGCUCCAUUAGCGUAUAUUAAAGUUGUUGCGGUUAAAACGCUCGUAGUUGGCUCUCUGUUCUGGACUGGCGGUGCACCUUAGCGGUGCUACUGUACAGCUCCGAGCUACACACCCGCCGGCUCACCCGGGGUGCUCUUCACCGAGUGUCCCUAGUGGCCGGCACGUUUACCUUGAAAAAAUUAGAGUGCUCAGAGCAGGCUAACCUAACAGCCUGAAUGGUGGUGCAUGGAAUGAUGGAAUAGGACCUCGGUUCUAUUUUGUUGGUUUUCGGAACCCGAGGUAAUGAUUAAGAGAAGCAGACGGGGGCAUUCGUACUGCGACGAUAGAGGUGAAAUUCUUAGACCGUCGCAUGACGAGCUACUGCGAAAGCAUUUGCCAAGGAUGUUUUCAUUAAUCAAGAACGAAAGUUAGAGGUUCGAAGGCGAUCAGAUACCGCCCUAGUUCUAACCAUAAACGAUGCUGACUAGCGAUCCGCCGCAGUUAUUCCCAUGACCCGGCGGGGAGCUUCCGGGAAACCAAAGUAUUUGAGUUCCGGGGGAAGUAUGGUUGCAAAGCUGAAACUUAAAGGAAUUGACGGAAGGGCACCACCAGGAGUGGAGCCUGCGGCUCAAUUUGACUCAACACGGGGAACCUUACCAGGCCCGGACACUGGAAGGAUUGACAGAUUGAAAGCUCUUUCUCGAUUCGGUGGGUGGUGGUGCAUGGCCGUUCUUAGUUGGUGGAGUGAUUUGUCUGGUUAAUUCCGAUAACGAACGAGACUCUAGCCUAUUAACUAGUCGGUGGAUAUACAAGUGUCUGGUUAAUUCCGAUUACAAAGACCGUGAACGUAGUCCUUCUGACUCGGCGUGUUUGGCGUGGGUAAGUGCUUCUGCUGCGGGUCAACGGCGGUGUGGGGUUCGCCUCCACUGUCGUCCUCGUAGUGGUGGUAACUGCUCAUUGCCUGCCGUCGGGAAGGUCGGUACUGCAGAUCUGAUCGGUGUCUAAACCGCAGCUUCUUCUUAGAGGGAUAAGCGGCAGCAAAUAAAAUACUAGCCGCACGAGAGAUUGAGCCAUAACAGGUCUGUGAUGCCCUUAGAUGUUCUGGGCCGCACGCGCGCUACAAUGGAGAGUUCAGCAAGCUCUUCCUGCUCCGACAGGAGUGGGUAACCUUAUCAAAGCUGUCCUUAAAGGGGAUUGGGGCUUGCAAAUAUGUCCCAUGAACGAGGAAUUCCCAGUAGGCGCAAUUCACCAGAUUGCACCGAUUUAGUCCCUGCCCUUUGUACACACCGCCCGUCGCUACUACCGAUUGAAUGGUCUAGUGAGGGCAUCGGACUGGCGCUCUUGGAGUGGUCGCCUUGACUUCAUACGUGUAAGGCCUUCGGGUCCCUGCACGAGGUCCUGGUGCCGCCUCGAGUCGACGGAAAGAUGUCCGAGCUGGGUCAUUUAGAGGAAGUAAAAGUCGUAACAAGGUUUCCGUAGGUGAACCUGC
rnacentral:rRNA from 1 species